UAAUACAAUCACGCGGAUGCGGGGAGUCCAAAUUUUUUUCCCGCACAAAGGCAAUCUGGUUCUAGCUAGGUUUUUGACAAAAAACCUUACAAAGGGAGAAACAUUGAUCGGAUGGAGAAUGAGAAGGAAAUCUAGGUUAUAAGUGCCAUGCGACUCUAAAUUAGCAUUUACCUUUGUUCAUUGUUUACUUGAGAAGGGGAAGACUUCUUUUGCUUUGGAGAUAUUCAAGCCAGCAUCGACUCUUCGUUCGAGCAAGAGAAGAGAAGUUGACAGUGGCCUGGCAUAAUGUCUCGAGUCUAUGUUGGGAACUUAGAUCCCAGAGUUACCGAAAGAGAACUCAAAGAUGAAUUUCGAGAUUAUGGUGUUAUUAGGAGUUUAAGCCUGAGGAAAUAACUGCCAUCAUGAAUGACUUUGCUGAACCUAGAUCACUUGCUCCAACUGGCUUACACCUUGGUGGCACAAAGUAUAUGGUGAUCCAAGGAGAACCAAGAGUUGCUAUUUGAGGGAAGAAGGGCAUAUAUUAGAUUGGUCAAAUCCUUUUUUUUUGUGUGUGGGAAAAUGGGCUAAUGGGGUAGCUCUCUCCCAAACCCAGGUAAAGGCAGGAUUCAACCUCAAGUCUCUACAAUGUCCAGCCAUACAUUACAUACAUUACAAGAAAGUUAGCUGGCACCUUCUAUCAAAGUGUCUAUAUAUUUAAUUUGGAUGGUCAAACAGAAGGCUGUAUUGAUAACAUGGAUUGGGGUAACAACACACACACACAUAUUAGGACAUGAAUAUUUUAGCAUUCGAGGUGAUUCAAGAGGUACUUAGAUCAGUUUCUUCUAGCAGUAACUUGGGCUCUCUAAAGUGCAUAUAAUAAAUCAAAGAUGUUUUGACAUGACAAAUAAGCAUGUGUAAAUAUGGCUCAGUUUAAAGUGCAAAGCCUUAUAUUUUAUAUUAUUUUGUAUAUAUUUAUACCAUGCACAUUUUUAUUUGUAUUCUUUCCAAACUGAGCUUAUAUGUUUAUCAAACUUAGCUCUAAUUUUGUAUAUAUAUGUUUAUCAAGCUUGUUGGACCUGAUUUUUACUAGGGAAGGAUCAUAAGAAGCUAGUCCAGUGACCCAUAUGCUUUGGGUCCAUCUUUGACGUGAAAUUGGAUUUGGUGCCCACAAAAUUGUGCUCAUACUCAUUCUUACAACCAUUUUCAUCCGUGUAUUAGAAAUAUCUCCCCAUAAAUAAAAAGAUACAAAUAUGGAGAUGUUCCCGGUGCAUGGCUGAAAAGGGCUGUGAGAACGGUGUGAGCACAGUUUUGCGAGGACUGAAUCCACCCACCUUUGGUGUUGUUUGCCCUUGAUAAGUGAUACAUUGCUAAUAUGCCCUUAUGGAUGCUAUAGAAUAUUUUGAAUUACUAUUGAUAUUCCAAUUAAUUGCUUAUGUGCUUCAUUAUUAGAGAAUUUGAUUA